rnacentral:rRNA from 1 species
GGCAGCAAAAAGCGGUGGAGAGCAGAGCGAGCUCUGGGACGGAGUUUUUUUUUUUUUCAGAGCGAGCUCUAGAUCUAGCUCCCGAGACAGCGGCCCUCCGCGGCCGCGGCCGCGGAUCCCACUCGGUUGCCGCAAGCGCUUCCGUUGCACCACUCCGCGGCUGCCGCAACUGGUGCUGUCCCCAAUCCGCGCUGCUGCUGCCGCUAAGCGAGGACUGGAGCUGCCGCUGAGCGAGUACCGGCGCUGCUGCUGAAACUGGCCGUCAGGACUGGACUGGCCCUGCCGCUUAGCGAGGAAGAGGAGGUUCGACGGAGGAGACGAGGUGUUUCCCUUGUCACAACGACUAGUAAAGACCGACUUAAGGCUCUUUAGGAACUAAAGAAGACCGGUAUGUAUAUAGUACAGUCGGAUGGUAUAGGAAAUAACACUGUUUUAUAAGACCUAUACACGUAAUAAUAGGUGUUAUCUGAACACAACUCUUGUUCUUCAAGAACCUCGAUAGUAAAAACGUAAGUUUUAGUAUUAAGUACCCUUGGACGACGACAGAUCUUGAAGGUAAGGAUAAACUUCUACAAAUAUAACGACGGUACAACAAAGAAGUAGCCAAAAAGAAGUUUUUACUGUAUCAAUGAAAUUUGAACUCCUUUAACAACGACUCAUGUACGGUUUGGUUUCACUAGUACUCUAUCCUGCCACAUAUACGAGUUCAACGAUUACUACUUGGUUUCACCAGUAAUGUAUCGAUUACAAAAAGAAAAAAUAACACGUUAAACACACCUUCACGUACACAUUGAGGUUUAAGAAACACUUACAACAAGGAGAAAUAACAAUGUCGCACCGUCUUUUUGUUGUAAGGUUAGUCCGGGAAUAUCAAAAACCAAAACGCAGAACGUGUACGUUCACCGACCUGACUGGCCUGGGUUUACUUGUUAGUCUUGCUCAGGUCCGUUCUCAUCAAUCCCGUCGAGGUUGCUGAAACUACUGACCUCUGAAACCGCUAGGUUGUGGUACCUAGUUUGCAGGCACCGCACCAGGCCUGCAAGUGUCAGAGUGUUUGGCCUUCGUUUCGACCUCCUUCAAACAUCCGCACGUCUGUAGGUGGUACAUCCGGAAGCUGUGGGAGCCGGGUGCUUUUGGAAGAGGGAGAGCAACGUAUCUAGCGACUACUCGCCCGACAGUGCCAGUACGAGCGUCUCUUUGGCCCGAAGUACCCACUCGUCGGUCGCAACAUGCUCAGGUACGUGUCACGGACGUGGUAGUCAGAACUGAGAACUCACCACCAUCGAGAUACAGUUGUUCCGACUACCUGCUCUUACGACGGUUGCAGCCAGCGAGGCACAACAAACGCGGUCCGGUGUUGUUGAUACUCCGGCCUAACAACUGAGGUGGAGGUAACCGCCGCAGCUGAUGGUCCGCCGCUUGAGUUUGCUCAUCCUGCACUUUGUGUCUGUACGGGUCCAGGCCGCUUCUCAUCUGAUGCCAGCCGAUGAAAACGAUACUUAAGAAAAAGAUUAUAAUUGCUUUACAGCACAUACGGUAAUAAACCAAGCCUAACCUACUGGCCGAAAGGAUUAAAGUAGGAGAACCAAC